GUGGGGAAUCUUCCGCAAUGGACGAAAGUCUGACGGAGCAACGCCGCGUGAGUGAAGAAGGUUUUCGGGUCGUAAAGCUCUUUCGUUAGGGACGAACGUGCUCUUUGUGAAUAAUGAGGAGUAAUGACGGUACCUAAAUAAGAAGCCACGGCUAACUACGUGCCAGCAGCCGCGGUAAUACGUAGGUGGCAAGCGUUGUCCGGAAUUAUUGGGCGUAAAGCGCGCGCAGGCGGGAUAUCAAGUCUGUCUUAAAAGUGCGAGGCUCAACCUCGUGAGGGGACAGAAACUGGUAUUCUUGAGUGUCGGAGAGGAAAGUGGAAUUCCAAGUGUAGCGGUGAAAUGCGUAGAGAUUUGGAAGAACACCAGUGGCGAAGGCGACUUUCUGGACGAUGUCUGACGCUGAGGCGCGAAAGCUAGGGGAGCGAACGGGAUUAGAAACCCGGGUAGUCC
rnacentral:rRNA from 1 species